rnacentral:misc_RNA from 1 species
UCAGCUAUUGAAUGGACCGC